rnacentral:rRNA from 1 species
AUACGGAGGAUGCGAGCGUUAUCCGGAUUUAUUGGGUUUAAAGGGAGCGUAGGUGGGAUAUUAAGUCAGCUGUGAAAGUUUGGGGCUCAACCUUAAAAUUGCAGUUGAUACUGGUUUCCUUGAGUACGGUACAGGUGGGCGGAAUUCGUGGUGUAGCGGUGAAAUGCUUAGAUAUCACGAAGAACUCCGAUCGCGAAGGCAGCUCUCCGGGCCGGAACUGACACUGAUGCUCGAAAGUGCGGGUAUCAAACAGGAUUAGAUACCCUAGUAGUCCGCACAGUAAACGAUGAAUACUCGCUGUUUGCGAUACACUGUAAGCGGCCAAGCGAAAGCGUUAAGUAUUCCACCUGGGGAGUACGCCGGCAACGGUGAAACUCAAAGGAAUUGACGGG